rnacentral:rRNA from 1 species
UGGGGAAUAUUGCGCAAUGGGCGGAAGCCUGACGCAGCAACGCCGCGUGAGGGAUGACGGCCUUCGGGUUGUAAACCUCUUUCAGCAGGGACGAAGCGGAAGUGACGGUACCUGCAGAAGAAGCACCGGCCAACUACGUGCCAGCAGCCGCGGUAAGACGUAGGGUGCGAGCGUUGUCCGGAAUUAUUGGGCGUAAAGGGCUCGUAGGCGGUUUGUCGCGUCGAAAGUGAAACUCCGAGGCUCAACCUCGGAACUGCUUUCGAUACGGGCAGACUAGAGGUAGGCAGGGGAGAGUGGAACUCCAGGUGUAGCGGUGGAAUGCGCAGAUAUCUGGAAGAACACCGGUGGCGAAGGCGGCUCUCUGGGCCUUACCUGACGCUGAGGAGCGAAAGCGUGGGUAGCGAACAG